CUCCUGCUAUCUUGCUAGCCAGCAUUCCUCUCAAGGCCCAAGCUUCUGUGUGAGGCCCACAAGGCAAAACUCCUGGUUUGGUCUGAAGGCCAGGGUUUCCUUUCUGAAUUUCAGUUUGGAGUCCCAGAUUUUAGAAAUACUAGCACUGUGCACCCCCUCCCCCGCUCUUAUUUGGAAGACCCACCCACCAUUUCUUCUCUGCAUUGCUUUCCUCUUUCACUCUUUUUCCCAAAACCCUCUUUGAACCGAGAUGCCGAGUGGCUCUAGGAAAGCACGGUGUGAAAUACAUUCUCCAGGGAAAAAGAAGAGCGUGGCGGCCGGAAUACCCCGAGAUUGGGCGCGCGGGGUCGGCGUGCUGCUUACCUUGACGGCUGGGGUGCGCGGGCUGCGCCCAGAAGCGCGGGGCUGAGCUGAGAUGCACCGGGUGGCCACAAGAUGCUGUGAAAUGCACCGGGCUGAGCCGAGCUGAGAUGCGCGGUUGUCACCCCUGGGUUGAGACGGCCUGGAGCGGAGGACGUGGGCUCGGGGAGGAAGUGCUGUGAGUCCUGCCCUCCCCGCGCAGACUCGCCGCUUCGCACAGAGGUGCUUGCCGAGCUCCUGUGAGCAGACAGACUCAAAGCCCCGCCUCUGGAACUCCGCAACUUUGGCAAGUUUGGGCCGCUUCCCCCAGCCCCUUUCUCCCACAUUGAAGAAAACACUUCCCGCCCUAAGGUUAGGGAAAGCCGCUCCUUCUCUCAUCCAUGUGGCGGUCUUUGUGUUCUAUGAGAUAAGGACUAAGAUUAAGGCCCAGAUGCUCGUUUGAGGGUUUAAUGAUCGAAGUCUCAGGCUAGCUGAGACACUCCCUACCGGAGAGUUCACCGGCUGAUAACACCUACAGGCAGUUAGGGCUGGGACGCUCUGGACGAAUCAAUCCCCGUUAUAUUUACAACUUUGAGACUUCAGGGCAACAGAUGUGAAGAUGGAACCAUUCACCUCAAAAGUUCCCCUUUCUGCCCUGGGAAACCCUCGAGCCCCCCGUGAGCUUCCGCUCACUCUCCACUUCCCCCAAGCCUACCGUCCUUUAUUGCUCUAAUGAAAGGAUGCUGCUUCUGUUGAGAUCGGUCUCCUGUAUCUUUUAUUUUCACAUCGCCUGGAUCAAUUCUGGUCCAGUAAAUUCCACAGAAAGUGAAGAGGCCAGCUUAUUUUGCAAUAACCUUUUAUGUCUUUACUGCAGCCCUUGCUGAACUUCCUCUAUCCAGCUAGCGUCAUACUUCCUGGGCCAGCUCGGCAUGGGACGCUCCAGAGAGGGUAGACAGAGGACUGCUGGUCCAGUGCGAUGGACCAGAGCACAGAGUCUUCCUUGGUGGAGGUGGAGGAAGGCCUCAGCAGGGGGCCGUUCUCAGCCAUCUCUGAUGCAAAUGGGAAGGUCCUAAGAGGUUUAUUUUAUUUUAUUUUUUAGACAGCGUGACGCUGUGUUAUACUGGUUGUCCUAGAACUUGCAACGUAGAUCAAGCUGCCUUCCAACACACAGAGCUCCUCCUGCUUCUGCCUCCUGAAUACUGGGAUUAAAGGUUGUGCCACUA